rnacentral:rRNA from 1 species
GACGAACGCUGGCGGCGUGCUUAACACAUGCAAGUCGAACGGAAAGGCCCUGCUUUUGUGGGGUGCUCGAGUGGCGAACGGGUGAGUAACACGUGAGUAACCUGCCCUUGACUUUGGGAUAACUUCAGGAAACUGGGGCUAAUACCGGAUAGGAGCUCCUGCUGCAUGGUGGGGGUUGGAAAGUUUCGGCGGUUGGGGAUGGACUCGCGGCUUAUCAGCCUGUUGGUGGGGUAGUGGCUUACCAAGGCUUUGACGGGUAGCCGGCCUGAGAGGGUGACCGGCCACAUUGGGACUGAGAUACGGCCCAGACUCCUACGGGAGGCAGUAGUGGGGAAUAUUGCACAAUGGGCGGAAGCCUGAUGCAGCAACGCCGCGUGCGGGAUGACGGCCUUCGGGUUGUAAACCGCUUUCGCCUGUGACGAAGCGUGAGUGACGGUAAUGGGUAAAGAAGCACCGGCUAACUACGUG